AUUGAACGCUGGCGGCAUGCCUUACACAUGCAAGUCGAACGGCAGCACGGGAGUAAUCCUGGUGGCGAGUGGCGAACGGGUGAGUAAUAUAUCGGAACGUGCCUAGUUGUGGGGGAUAAUGCAGCGAAAGCUGUGCUAAUACCGCAUACGAUCUAUGGAUGAAAGCGGGGGAUCGCAAGACCUCGCGCAAUUAGAGCGGCCGAUAUCAGAUUAGCUAGUUGGUGGGGUAAAAGCCCACCAAGGCGACGAUCUGUAGCUGGUCUGAGAGGACGACCAGCCACACUGGAACUGAGACACGGUCCAGACUCCUACGGGAGGCAGCAGUGGGGAAUUUUGGACAAUGGGCGCAAGCCUGAUCCAGCAAUGCCGCGUGCAGGAUGAAGGCCUUCGGGUUGUAAACUGCUUUUAGACGGAAAGAAAUUGCGCAGGUAAAUAAUCUGUGUAGAUGACGGUACCGUAAGAAGAAGCACCGGCUAACUACGUGCCAGCAGCCGCGGUAAAAC
rnacentral:rRNA from 1 species